CCUACGGGUGGCAGCAGUGAGGAAUAUUGGUCAAUGGACGCAAGUCUGAACCAGCCAUGCCGCGUGCAGGAAGACGGCUCUAUGAGUGGUAAACUGCGUUUGUACGAGGGUAAACGCAGAUACGCGUAUCUGUCUGAAAGUAUCGUACGAAUAAGGAUCGGCUAACUCCGUGCCAGCAGCCGCGGUAAUACGGAGGAUUCAAGCGUUAUCCGGAUUUAUUGGGUUUAAAGGGUGCGUAGGCGGGCGGAUAAGUUAGAGGUGAAAUCCCGAGGCUCAACUUCGGAAUUGCCUCUGAUACUGUUCGGCUAGGGAGUAGUUGCGGUAGGCGGAAUGUAUGGUGUGGCGGUGAAAUGCUUAGAGAUCAUACAGAACACCGAUUGCGAGGGCAGCUUACCAAGCUACUUCUGACGUUGAGGCACGAAGGCGUGGGAGGCAAACGGGCU
rnacentral:rRNA from 1 species